CUCCUACGGGAGGCAGCAGUGGGGAAUUUUGGACAAUGGGCGAAAGCCUGAUCCAGCAAUGCCGCGUGUGUGAAGAAGGCCUUCGGGUUGUAAAGCACUUUUGUCCGGAAAGAAAUGGCUCUGGUUAAUACCUGGGGUCGAUGACGGUACCGGAAGAAUAAGGACCGGCUAACUACGUGCCAGCAGCCGCGGUAAUACGUAGGGUCCAAGCGUUAAUCGGAAUUACUGGGCGUAAAGCGUGCGCAGGCGGUUGUGCAAGACCGAUGUGAAAUCCCCGAGCUUAACUUGGGAAUUGCAUUGGUGACUGCACGGCUAGAGUGUGUCAGAGGGGGGUAGAAUUCCACGUGUAGCAGUGAAAUGCGUAGAGAUGUGGAGGAAUACCGAUGGCGAAGGCAGCCCCCUGGGAUAACACUGACGCUCAUGCACGAAAGCGUGGGGAGCAAACAGGAUUAGAUACCCUGGUAGUCCACGCCCUAAACGAUGUCAACUAGUUGUUGGGGAUUCAUUUCCUUAGUAACGUAGCUAACGCGUGAAGUUGACCGCCUGGGGAGUACGGUCGCAAGAUUAAAACUCAAAGGAAUUGACGG
rnacentral:rRNA from 1 species